rnacentral:rRNA from 1 species
CCUACGGGAGGCAGCAGUCGAGAAUCAUUCACAAUGGGGGAAACCCUGAUGGUGCGACGCCGCGUGGGGGAAUGAAGGUCUUCGGAUUGUAAACCCCUGUCAUGUGGGAGCAAAUUAAAAAGAUAGUACCACAAGAGGAAGAGACGGCUAACUCUGUGCCAGCAGCCGCGGUAAUACAGAGGUCUCAAGCGUUGUUCGGAAUCACUGGGCGUAAAGCGUGCGUAGGCUGUUUCGUAAGUCGUGUGUGAAAGGCGCGGGCUCAACCCGCGGACGGCACAUGAUACUGCGAGACUAGAGUAAGGGAGGGGGAACCGGAAGUCUCGGUGUAGCAGUGAAAUGCGUAGAUAUCGAGAGGAACACUCGUGGCGAAGGCGGGUUCCUGGACAUUAACUGACGCUGAGGCACGAAGGCCAGGGGAGCGAAAGGGAUUAGAUACCCUUGUAGUC